rnacentral:lncRNA from 1 species
AUUCAAGAAUUUCCUUAAGGCCUACCGUGAAGACGUCGGAGGCAAGUUAAGACGUUGGGGAGCAGCAUCUACUGCAGGAGUUCAACCAGACGCUGAACAGAACAGCAGUUGACUAACCUGUGAUACUGUUAUCAGAUGAAGACCCCUAGGAAGUCUACAGAUUAGAAUGGAAGGAAGAAUCUGGAUUACAGCUUGGAUCAGAGAAGAAGAGUCUUGGUUUUUAUAUAAUUAAGAGGCAAGAAGUAUGGCAAGCAUGGCAAGGAACUCUUAUUUCCAGUUUAAAGGGGCGGGAGUCUCCCUACUGAGCUCCACUUUUCUUUGGAGGCAAGAGGAGUGGCAUUUGUAACUCUGGGUAAGAGUUGAAAUUACUCACAUAGAAGAAGGAGAUGGGACCGGCAUGGAAACUAAUCAUAAUCCCAAAGAUGAAAGUCAGCUGGGACAGCAUGAUAUGAAGUGCCACAGCAGCCAGGUAAGCACUCAUUGCAGACUCCGGAAGGUAAGUGGCAAUGAAGCCCAAACCCAAUACGCCCAUUAUUAGCUGC